CUAGGAUUUUCUAGAUAGUACAAAUUCCCUACAAAUUCCAGAAUUUUAAGAUCUAAGAAUGCCUGGGAUUUGGCUAAAAUUCGAUAUGCCCUGUGUGCACAGCAUUUGAAUCAUUCGACAUCGUGUGCUCGCAGUUCACAGUUCAUACUAGAAACAAUACAGUCACGUUCAUAAUAAUAAUGUUGAUAAUUAUCAUCAAACAAAAAUCUAAGAGAAAUGUGGAGUUCAGCGUUUCAAUGUAUAAAACCAUUUUUACUUUAAAAUAAAAAAAGAUAGAAAAACGUUUGGGAAUUCCUACCGGACAAUGUGACAUUUCGUCAACAGACGGAAAUAUCACAGACGCCGAUCGUAUAUUGGAAAUGUCAGGAGUUCAGGACAGUGAAAAUAACGACAGUCGAAGAUGAUGAAAGAAGCAAGCAAUGAUGCACCAUUCGUUGAUAUUCUCCCACAAAACAGGCCAUUUGUUGUUGUCAUCUCGGCAUCCGACUGCAACAACACAGACUUCUGCAGUCUAUUGAAUGAAUUUUCUAAAAGCUUUGAUGGAUACAGAAACGUCGGAUGCCUAAAGUUUAAUAAAGAAACACCGGUUCUAGAAUAUAGUGGAAGGCUAUACGUUGCGGCAGCAGACGAAAACACAAUGGAUUGGGUGCUGGGUGUCAUCUGCAAAAAAGAUAACUACGAAGCUGUUCCCCUUACGGAAUUUCUACAUCUCUUACCAGCUCAAGUCAUACUGCCCAAAGUAGAAAAAUGCUUCAAAAAAAUCUUUGGAAUGCUCGAACUACAAAAAAAUGGUGUACAAACAUACAAAUGGUCUGUUAUCGAUAGAAACGAUUUGGAUCCAUGCUCCAACGAUAAUAUUACGUAAGCAUUCGUUAAUGAAGCGAUCGAUUUAUACAUGGACGGUGACAGUAUUGAGACUAUUAAAAACAGAUGCUAUCAGUUGAAAUACAACUUCUGGAUAGUCAAAUUCAUGUUUUGCGAGUAAUUGUCAAAUUAACAUAUAUUUUAUUAUAUUUCAUUAUACUUCAAAAUGAUCAUUAAAAAAAUGGCUGUCCAAAAUGCAUUUGUAGCCUAGUAA